ACCUGCAGUCGAACGGAAACAUGUCUAGCUUGCUAGAUGAUGUCGAGUGGCGGACGGGUGAGUAAUGCUUGGGAACUUGCCUUUGCGAGGGGGAUAACAGUUGGAAACGACUGCUAAUACCGCAUAAUGUCUUCGGACCAAACGGGGCUUCGGCUCCGGCGCAAAGAGAGGCCCAAGUGAGAUUAGCUAGUUGGUGAGGUAAAGGCUCACCAAGGCAACGAUCUCUAGCUGUUCUGAGAGGAAGAUCAGCCACACUGGGACUGAGACACGGCCCAGACUCCUACGGGAGGCAGCAGUGGGGAAUAUUGCACAAUGGGGGAAACCCUGAUGCAGCCAUGCCGCGUGUGUGAAGAAGGCCUUCGGGUUGUAAAGCACUUUCAGUUGUGAGGAAAAGUUAGUAGUUAAUACCUGCUAGCCGUGACGUUAACAACAGAAGAAGCACCGGCUAACUCCGUGCCAGCAGCCGCGGUAAUACGGAGGGUGCGAGCGUUAAUCGGAAUUACUGGGCGUAAAGCGCACGCAGGCGGUUUGUUAAGCUAGAUGUGAAAGCCCCGGGCUCAACCUGGGACGGUCAUUUAGAACUGGCAGACUAGAGUCUUGGAGAGGGGAGUGGAAUUCCAGGUGUAGCGGUGAAAUGCGUAGAUAUCUGGAGGAACAUCAGUGGCGAAGGCGACUCCCUGGCCAAAGACUGACGCUCAUGUGCGAAAGUGUGGGUAGCGAACAGGAUUAGAUACCCUGGUAGUCCACACCGUAAACGCUGUCUACUAGCUGUUUGUGGCUUUAAGCCGUGAGUAGCGAAGCUAACGCGAUAAGUAGACCGCCUGGGGAGUACGGCCGCAAGGUUAAAACUCAAAUGAAUUGACGGGGGCCCGCACAAGCGGUGGAGCAUGUGGUUUAAUUCGAUGCAACGCGAAGAACCUUACCUACACUUGACAUGUUGAGAAUUACUAGAGAUAGUUUCGUGCCUU
rnacentral:rRNA from 1 species